CCUAAGGCCCUUCGGGGUACACGAGUGGCGAACGGGUGAGUAACACGUGGGUAAUCUGCCCUGCACAUCGGGAUAAGCCUGGGAAACUGGGUCUAAUACCGAAUAGGACCACAGAACACAUGUCCUGUGGUGGAAAGCUUUUGCGGUGUGGGAUGGGCCCGCGGCCUAUCAGCUUGUUGGUGGGGUGAUGGCCCACCAAGGCGACGACGGGUAGCCGGCCUGAGAGGGUGUCCGGCCACACUGGGACUGAGAUACGGCCCAGACUCCUACGGGAGGCAGCAGUGGGGAAUAUUGCACAAUGGGCGAAAGCCUGAUGCAGCGACGCCGCGUGGGGGAUGACGGCCUUCGGGUUGUAAACCUCUUUCACCAUCGACGAAGGUUCGGGUUUUCUCGGAUUGACGGUAGGUGGAGAAGAAGCACCGGCCAACUACGUGCCAGCAGCC
rnacentral:rRNA from 1 species